rnacentral:rRNA from 2 species
CGCGAAUGGCUCAUUACAACAGCCGUCGUUUCUUGGAUCUCUUAUUUUACUUGGAUAACUGUGGUAAUUCUAGAGCUAAUACACGCACUAAAGCUCCGACCUUACGGGACGAGCGCAUUUAUUAGAACAAAACCAAUCGGGUUUCGGCCCGUCCGUUGGUGACUCUGAAUAAGUACGCCGAUCGCACGGUCUCGUACCGGCGACAUAUCUUUCAAGUGUCUGCCUUAUCAACUUUCGAUGGUAGUUUAUGUGCCUACCAUGGUUGUAACGGGUAACGGAGAAUAAGGGUUCGACUCCGGAGAGGGAGCCUGAGAAACGGCUACCACAUCCAAGGAAGGCAGCAGGC